rnacentral:misc_RNA from 1 species
GAUGAAGAACGCAGCGAAAUGCGAUAAGUAAUGUGAAUUGCAGAAUUCAGUGAAUCAUCGAAUCUUUGAACGCAUCUUGCGCUCCUUGGUAUUCCUUGGAGCAUGCCUGUUUGAGUAUCAUGAGCAAAUCUCAAAGUCAAUUCCUUUUGUUGAUUCAAUUGGUUUUGCUUUGGACUUGGAGGCCUUGCAGAUUUCACAGUCUGCUCCUCUUAAAUGCAUUAGCUGGAUCUCAGUAAUUAUGCCUGGUUCCACUCGGCGUGAUAAGUAUCACUCGCUGAGGACACUGUUAAAAAGGUGGCCAGGAAAAUACUGAUUGAACCGCUUCUAACGGUCUAUUAAGUUAGACAAUUACCCUUAAGUUUGAUCUCAAAUCAGGUAGGACUACCCGCUGAACUUAAGCAUAUCAAUAAGCGGAGGA